GAUGAACGCUAGCGGCAGGCCUAAUACAUGCAAGGCGAGGGGGCAGCAAUGUCACCGUCGUACGGGUGCGUAACGCGUAUGCAACCUACCUAUCACUGGGGGAUAGCCCGGGGAAACCCGGAUUAAUACCGCAUGACACAUUGAGAUCGCAUGGUUUUGAUUGUUAAAGAUUUAUUGGUGAUAGAUGGGCAUGCGUUCGAUUAGCUAGUUGGUAAGGUAACGGCUUACCAAGGCGACGAUCGAUAGGGGAGCUGAGAGGUUGAUCCCCCACACGGGCACUGAGAUACGGGCCCGACUCCUACGGGAGGCAGGAGUAGGGAAUAUUGGGCAAUGGAUGCAAGUCUGACCCAGCCAUGCCGCGUGCCGGAAGAAGGUCCUCAGGAUUGUAAACGGCUUUUAUUCGGGAAGAAGAGCGAGGAUGCGUCCUUGUGUGACGGUACCGAAUGAAUAAGCACCGGCUAACUCCGUGCCAGCAGCCGCAGUAA
rnacentral:rRNA from 1 species